rnacentral:lncRNA from 1 species
UAGCUGCUUCACAAAGUUAUAAUUAAAGGAUUCCAGUAUGAAUUCAAUCUAAGCUUAUGUGAACAGCCAUGAAGAAAAAUUCUUAACUAUUCUUGUUACACCUUGAAAAAUCAUAUUGUCUACAUAUUUUGUUGAUUGCUUUGUAUACUGAAGAAAUAUUUAAAAAUAAUUGCAUGGAAUCCAAAAUUUAAUGGUAGUUCUGAGAAUUUGGCAUGACUUAUUAAUUGGGUUUCAAACACAUACACACACAGACACACGCACAAGCACGUAUACCUGGAACUAGAUGUUUUUCCAGCUCUUAUUAUUUUUUAAUCAGAACAGCUCUGCAUAGUGGUUUGGACUCACAGCUUGAUCCAAACCUGACAUCCUUUAGAUGUGUUUAUAAAUAAGCUUGACAGAAUGCAGUCUGGAAUUUAGACCACUGGAUUUUGGCUGUUCUUCUUCCCUCUCUGCAUUUUCAAAUACAUAAUUUUUAAUAGAAGUUAUAGCCAUGCAGAAAAAUUCAAAGUUAUCAAGUUUUCCCCUAGGUUCUCUGUUCACAUAUUCACAGUAAAAACUGGUAUUGGAUGUGGAAGCUGUGUCAGCUCACAUUCAGUUUUAUACUUUAAUUAUUGAAUAUUCUUUACUUAUUCAUCCACCCUCAAAAAACCCUCAAAAAAAAAAAAAAACCCAACAACGACAAUAAUAAAUCUGUGACAGAAUCAGAGCUAGAAAAACAAUUAGCUUUAUAACCUCUCUUAUAACCUGUGUCUACUUUAUAAAGAAUGCUUAUCUGAAAUAUAUAUGAAUGAGGUAUGUGUCUAGCGAAUGCAUUUUACCUAAAAUAUAUACCUCGAGUAUAUAUUUUAGAUAGCAGGCAUUCUUUGGAAAUAGUGCUUCUGACUGUAUUGUUUUACAUCAUUAUUUUGCCUUUCCUUCAGACAAAAGGUUGAAACCUAGCUUGCUAUUUCUUUCAUAGAUUAUACAUUUCAUAUUGUAUCAAGAAAGGCAAUGCUGCAUCCAAGAUGGUCUAGAUUUUUUUUUUUACUGUAUUCUCACAUUUUUAAUUUUGGUGACUUAUCUUUAAAUAUAUUGCUCACUUUAAAUUAAUUUUAUGGGAAGAAUGCAAAGCCUCUGUCUAGAGAUGAUGUUCUAUGUGUGAUAUCCAUUUGCUUUAACAUCUUUUUUUUUUUUUAAAUAUCAUCUUUCCUUCAUCAUGUUGCCCUUGCUUCUUUGUUGAUUUUCAGUUGUCUCUACUUAUGUACCUUCUUCAAUUGGCUUUCUGUUCUGUCCACUAAUGAUUUGUUUGUUCUUUCUCAGUGCUAGGCUGCCUUAAUCCUACAGUUCUGUGGCAAGUGUUGACAUCUGGUACUAUUAGUGUUCUGAUCCAUUUUAUUUUAUGAUUUUUGCUCCAUGGAGUUCUAUCAGCUAUUCUGUGACUUUUGCUUCUACGUACAACAUUGUAAUCAUUUCUUCAUUGUUUCCAAAAUCACACUCUGAGGUUUGAUUUGAGAUUGUACUUAUUCUCUCUCUCUCAUUUUAAUGCCUCUUCUUUUUCCUCUCCUACUCCCAAACAUGUGAUAAAAAUAAGCAAUCUUUUCUGAGACCACAUGUGUUUCUUCCACUUGUGGAAAGAAUAUAAAUGUCCAUGUAUUUGAAGAAGGGUGUGGUCAUAAGAUAGGUGUGGUCAUAAGAUAGAAAUAAUAUUUAUAGAUAUUUUUAUGGUGAAGUUGCUCAUUAGUGACUCAUGAAGCAAUUUUGUGACUUUGUGAUAAAACACCAAGUUCCUGUUUUGUUGUGUCUGUUGGGUCACACUGAAAGGGAAGAACUUAUUAAAAAUCCUGUUAUCUUCAGGUCAAUAAAAUCUGAUGCUGCUUUUUGAAAACAUUAUGAGAUAUACUUCAUUCUGCCUGAUGUAGUUCAUGAUAAUGACUCAACGUCAUUAAUAUUUGAAAACAAAGGUUAACAUUUGAUACUUUUUAUUCUCUACCAAGUCAGUUGAAGUAAAGGUGAUUUUGACCAAAAAGAAACUUAUCUAAUAAAAUCUUUGUAUACUUUCCAUAUCUAUGUCUAUAUUUAUCAAUAUAUAGACACAUACACAUAGAAAUAUAUACACAUACUUAUGAGAAGCUGAUUUUCACAUAUGAACAAUAUAUAUUAUAAUAUUAAUCCUUCUCUAUACUAGUAUGGGUCUAUGUGUAUAUAUGUAUAUUCAUAUAGAUAAACAUAUAGCUAUGCACAUAUGCCUAAUUCCUACCAUACAGCUAAACUCUUCAUUUUCAAUCCUCACAUAAUAUUUUGAGGAAGGAAAUAAAAAUGCUUUAAUUCGAAUUCUACACAUUAGGAAUCAAAAACUUCAAGAAUAAACAUUUUUUGUUUUCUAGUAACAUGUACAUUGCAAUGCCCAAAUGAAAAUUAGAUUAAUUUAACAGUAAAGUAUCUAUAUAUUAAGGGACAUAUUAAGUAAAUACAUUUCUUAUAUCAAACUGCAAAGUAGCUACCAACUAAAUCUUGAAAAAAUAAAGGAAAGAAAUACCAAAGAGAUGAAUUGAGUUUCCGUGCAGUUUUCCCUAUCUUGCUCUACAAAGUUGGGAGCAAGAAGCAUAGUUGUCUCACAUCUCAGUGGGGUUAGCACAUAUUCAAGGUUUUAUUCUCUCUCUGAAGAAUUGUCCUAAAAUAGAAGGGGUGACUGAGAGGGGCAGUGAGCAGGAUGUAGAGUAAAUAAGU